AUGUUGGUUUUGUCGUGACACGGCUCAUUUGUUUUACAAUACAGAUGAGAAUUACACAAUGUUACUUAGAUUUUUCUAAAUAUUUUACAAUAUUUGUUUAUAGCUGCUUCCUUUUGUAAUAAAAAUAAAAUACAUUCUGUUUAAAAAAGAAAAUUAAAAAAGUGAGUAAAUCGUCAAAUUAAUUGCAAAAUUUGCAUUUAAGUACAAAGGACAGAAUUUAUUCACUCCUUAAUAAGACCUGUUUUUUUCCCCUUCACUUUGGCUAGUUCUACCAUACAUCAAGAGUUAUGAUACUGCAUGUUUGUAACGUCACUUUUCAUUGGUUAAUAGUGACGUUUAUAUAGUUUUAUACAUGUUCACACGGCUUCUGUCAAUUCAUGAAGAAAUCAAACUUUUUUCUCUAUAAAAGGAAGUUUGCAGUAUUAUAUAAAUUUGUUAUAAAGAUUUUUACGGGUUAUAUGACCGUAUAUAAACGGUUGUUUGCAAUAUAAACCUUGCCUAGCGGGUCGGGAUUAUAUUUACAAACAACCGUUUAAAUGGAGCCAUAUAACCUGUCAAAAAUCUUUAUAACUUAUAUUAUAAGAGGGUCACGAUAAUCCACAGACUAUAUAGGAUUUAAAUAAGAUUUUUAGUGUUACGAUAUGGACUGCCAAGUUAUUUGUGUAAAAUAUAGAUUAAAUCUUAUAUAUGACAUGACCAAUUGAUAAGACUUUAAAAUGCUACCGAGCAGGCUACCCCCUUACUCUUUCACUGUUUUAUAACAUCAUAAUGAAUACCAUUGAUUAAAUAGGUCACAGUACUGUCACAAUAUUAGUGAAAUAAUGCUCGGGUAUUAUUAGAAAAGAUGUACUUUGUUAUCCAGCUAACAACAAAUGAAAACUACAGAUAUAUUUAAGUGUAUUUUUAUAUAAUUUUUUUUGUUGUUGAAUACUUUACUGUUGAUUUUAUUUAUGUAUAUUUUCUAUGAUAUUAAAGAGUUACAUUGUAUGUAUGAUACAAGAAGACAGAUAGUGUUUUUAUAAAGUUUUUUUCUUUGUUUUUGUUUUUUGUAAUACAAAGAAUUAUUUAUCUGGCUUGUGUAAAAGGGUUCUGAUUCAGUAAACUAUACAAUGAUGAAGUGCUUUUCUUAAUUAGGACUAGAUCUUUAAAACUGUUUAAUUGCUGCUGUGUAUGUCCCUCUACUUUAAUUAUUGUCAAAUGUUAUUAAGAAAACAUCAUCUUGUAAGUAAUUGAUGACGUAAAACUUUUGUGUCCUGUAUAUUAGUAUCAGCAAGUUUAGUGCAACCAAUAGUUACACCAAAUAUAGCAUCAGAAGGUUUAGUGUAACCAAUAGUUACACCAAAUAUAGCAUCAGAAGGUUUAGUGUAACCAAUAGUUACACCAAAUAUAGUAUCAGAAGGUUUAGUGCAACCAAUAGUUACACCAAAUAUAGCAUCAGAAGGUUUAGUGUAACCAAUAGUAACACCAAAUAUAGCAUCAGAAGGUUUAGUGUAACCAAUAGUUACACCAAAUAUAGUAUCAGAAGGUUUAGUGUAACCAAUAGUUACACCAAAUAUAGCAUCAGAAGGUUUAGUGUAACCAAUAGUUACACCAAAUAUAGCAUCAGAAGGUUUAGUGUAACCAAUAGUUACACCAAAUAUAGUAU